CGCACAUUGCGCCCGCUAGCAUUCUGGCGGGCAUGCCUGUCCGAGCGUCAUUUCAACCCUCGCGCCCUCUUCCGGGCUGCGGUGUUGGGGACCGGCCCGCCCCCCUCGGGGCGCGCCGCCCCCUAAAUCUAGUGGCGGUCUCGCUGCAGCCUCCCCUGCGUAGUAGCACACCUCGCACCGGAGCGCAGCGCGGCCACGCCGUAAAACCCCCGACCAUCAUGAGUUUGACCUCGGAUCAGGUAGGAAUACCCGCUGAACUUAA
rnacentral:misc_RNA from 1 species